rnacentral:rRNA from 1 species
CCUACGGGAGGCAGCAGUGAGGAAUAUUGGUCAAUGGCCGGAAGGCUGAACCAGCCAUGCCGCGUGAAGGUCAGUGCCCUAUGGGCGUUAAACUUCUUUUGUGCGGGAGCAAUAAUGGUCACGUGUGGCCAGACGAGAGUACCGUACGAAUAAGCAUCGGCUAACUCCGUGUCAGCAGCGGCGGUAAUACGGGGGAUGCAAGCGUUAUCCGGAUUUAGUGGGUUUAAAGGGUGCGUAUGCUGUGAGGUCAGACAGCGGUGAAAUGCCCCCGCUCAACGGGGUGAAGUGCCAUUGAUACUGCCUUGCUGGAAGGCGGAUGCCGUGGGAGGAAUGUGUGGUGUAGCGGUGAAAUGCAUAGAUAUCACACAGAACACCGAUUGCGAAGGCAGCAUACCGGCGCCCGACUGACGCUGAGGCACGAAAGCGUGGGUAUCGAACAGGAUUAGAUACCCGGGUAGUC